CAGACAGACAGCGCUCACCCGUGGCAGAAAGGUGCUCACUCCUCGGGAACAGGCACAAGCUCCAAGCCAGCAGCCCCAUCCUGCUGGCAGGCUCUCCUCCUCGGGGUGAUGGUUUGACUGAACCCCAGUGAUUGACACAACCUGCUCCCCACAAGCAGGAAAGAGCUCUGGUCACACAGGGCAGCCCAGGAUGCAGCAACAAGAUGCUGGAGGAACAGUCUGCUUUUGCUGAGAGUGGAAAUGCCUCUGUUGAAAUGAUCUUGUGGAAAUAGGAAGAUGCAAGAAGAAAAUGUUCAAGUAGUCUGUAAAGCCUGCACACUGCAACAAACAGAAGGAAAGUUCACAAAAGAAAAUAAGAGUUGGAGGAUAGUGAUUGAUCUGUAUCAUAUGCUGUCCUCAUGUGCUUUCUUUUGGGAGAAUAGCUGCUGUCCUUUGCCAUUCCUGAGCUGGCAUUACUCACCAAUCUCUGGGCAAGGAUUCCAAGCCAAACACCACAUCCAGUGGUUUCUGUCUGGAGAGGAUAUGAGUCUUCCACAUUCAGCUGUAGUGAAGAAGAUUAUAAUAAAAUAAAAAAGAAUAAAAGAUUGCGUUGUUACCACCUUCAAUAUUUCUGUUUCUCCUGAGAUAUGGAUUCUUCUUUGCCUGGUAUUAGCAUGCAGAGUUGAAGCAAAGGCUUAAUCUCUUCACAUUGCCUUCAGAAAAUCAAUUUGUUUUGCUAAAAUGAAACGGACAUACGGUGUCAAGGAACUCUAUUUGAGUGUGACUAGAGAUACUCAUGACUUCACCAAGGUGUCAAAAAGUGUUCCUACUGCCUGCAUUCUUCUGAAGGGAAUAAAGUAAUUUAGGAAGUGUCA
rnacentral:lncRNA from 1 species